rnacentral:rRNA from 1 species
AACGAACGCUGGCGGCAGGCUUAACACAUGCAAGUCGAACGCAUCCUUCGGGGGCAGUGGCAGACGGGUGAGUAACGCGUGGGAACGUGCCCUUCAGUUCGGGAUAACCCAGGGAAACUUGGGCUAAUACCGGAUACGUGCGAGAGCAGAAAGAUUUAGCGCGGAAGGAUCGGCCCGCGUCUGAUUAGCGAGUUGGUGGGGUAAUGGCCAACCGAGGCGACGAUCAGUAGCUGGUAUGAGAGGAUGAUCAGCCACAUUGGGACUAAGAAACGGCCCAAAAUCCUAGGGGAGGCGGCAGUGGGGAAUAUUGGACAGUCGGCGCAAGCCUGAACACGCGAGGCCGCGUGAGUGAUGAAGGCCUUAGGGUUGUAAAGCUCUUUCAUCCGGGACGAGAAUGACGGUACCGGAAGAAGAAGCACCGGCUAACUUCGUGCCAGCCGCCGCCGUAA